UUUUUGGUGGCAGAUGUGUAGUGCAUGUCAUUGUAAAUGGCAAUAAGAAGAAAGUUCCCGAUAAA
rnacentral:tRNA from 1 species